GAUGAACGCUGACAGAAUGCUUAACACAUGCAAGUCUACUUGAACUUCGGUUUGGGUGGCGGACGGGUGAGUAACGCGUAAAGAACUUGCCUCACAGUUAGGGACAACAUUUGGAAACGAAUGCUAAUACCUGAUAUUAUGAUUUUAGGGCAUCCUAGGAUUAUGAAAGCUAUAUGUGCUGUGAGAGAGCUUUGCGUCCCAUUAGCUAGUUGGAGCGGUAACGGCUCACCAAGGCGAUGAUGGGUAGCCGGCCUGAGAGGGUGAACGGCCACAAGGGGACUGAGACACGGCCCUUACUCCUACGGGAGGCAGCAGUGGGGAAUAUUGGACAAUGGACCAAAAGUCUGAUCCAGAAAUUCUGUGUGCACGAUGACGUUUUUCGGAAUGUAAAGUGCUUUCAGUUGGGAAGAAAAAAAUGACGGUACCAACAGAAGAAGUGACGGCUAAAUACGUG
rnacentral:rRNA from 1 species